GACCUGUUGCCUGCGGGAUGUCGCAGUGCCAUGCUCGGCAUCAGCGGCGGCGCUCUCCGGGGUCCCGCUCCCCUCCUCCUCCUCUUCCUCCGCCCGUGGCUCUUCUUCUGCGUUGGCGGCAGCGUGGGCUCGGUCCACCAGAGCGCGGUCCACCAUCUCCAGGUGUUUGCACCUGAGCACCUCCAGUUCAAGCACUCCAGCCAGCGUUGCUUUGAGGCGCUCCCCGAUGCGGACGCGCUCGGUGCCCGACCAGAGUGAGUUCACGCAGCCGCGGCGGUCGGCCAUCCUCGUCGGGGUGCCCGGCAGGGGGAACCGGGCGCACCGCUGACCACCACUCAGUUGCCGUGUAUGGGCUGAGAGGACCGAACUGGUUAAGGACCAGCUUCAGGUAGAGAAAAGCGGGUCCUGGCAAGCCAUACCAUUAUAGAAGCCGUUUUAAUUAUAUGAAAAUAUAAUCCCCACCAUCACUAACGUGCCAUGCAGCUUACGCUUCAGGCAGCCCUGCUGAGUGGCACAAGACUGGAAUUAAUGAGUAUACGCUGGUACACUGAAGGCAAAUCAACGGACCAUGUCUCCUCCGAACCGAGGCUUCAUUUCCAGUUGACAGCGUCCCUCUGUAUAUCACUCAUAAACUCCCUGGUCCACUGAGGUAACCAUGGUACUGCGCUCUGUACGCUGCGUCCCCAAUGAGACAAUGCAACAGACGGGAGGAGAGGCUGCUAACGUUACAUGUGGGAGCAGGCAGUGGAGAGGAGGAGCCACUGCACCAGAGCUGCAGAGGGAUUGGUCGGUGAAGUUUUUCGAAUGGACGCGUAGAAGAAAAAAUAUGAGUCCAACUUUACCAUACAGGACAAAUACAUUCCCAGUGUUCCCACAGAGGGGGUGGAGGUGCAGUGCACUUUGCUCUAGUGCCACCUUUUAACCAGCAGAGGGGGAUCUUUAACAGCUCCAGAACAUGGGCCCCUGAUCAUGCUUCACAGGCUACAACUACAAUAUUAAUGAAGGAACACGGCCCAUUUUCCAUAUCCAAGUUACAGUUUUGUCUAUGGAGAGAAGAUACAUCAACACCUUUGUAACACAGCUUCAAUAAAACCAUACUCUUUGUG